rnacentral:rRNA from 1 species
GGGUUGUGAGGUUAAGCGACUAAGCGUACACGGUGGAUGCCCGGCAGUCAGAGGCGAUGAAGGACGUGCUAAUCUGCGAAAAGCGUCGGUAAGGUGAUAUGAACCGUUACAGCCGGCGAUGUCCGAAUGGGGAAACCCAGUGCAAUUCGUUGCACUAUCGUUAACUGAAUACAUAGGUUAACGAGGCGAACCGGGGGAACUGAAACAUCUAAGUACCCCGAGGAAAAGAAAUCAACCGAGAUUCCCCCAGUAGCGGCGAGCGAACGGGGAGCAGCCCAGAGUCUGAAUCAGCUUGUGUGUUAGUGGAACGGUCUGGAAAGUCCGACGGUACAGGGUGAUAGUCCCACACCAAAAUGCACAGGUUGUGAACUCGAAGAGUAGGGCGGGACACGUGGUAUCCUGUCUGAAUAUGGGGACCAUCCUCCAAGGCUAAAUACUCCUGACUGACCGAUAGUGAACCAGUACCGUGAGGGAAAGGCGAAAAGAACCCCGGCGAGGGAGUGAAAAGAACCUGAAACCGUGUACGUACAAGCAGUGGGAGCACCUUCGGGUGUGACUGCGUACCUUUGUAUAAUGGGUCAGCGACUUAUAUUCUGUAGCAAGGUUAACCGUAUAGGGAGCCGCAGGGAAACCGAGUCUUAACUGGGCGUUAAGUUGCAGGGUAUAGACCCGAAACCCGGUGAUCUAGCCAUGGGCAGGUUGAAGGUUGGGUAACACUAACUGGAGGACCGAACCGACUAAUGUUGAAAAAUUAGCGGAUGACUUGUGGCUGGGGUGAAAGGCCAAUCAAACCGGGAGAUAGCUGGUUCUCCCGAAAGCUAUUUAGGUAGCGCCUCGUGAACUCAUCUUCGGGGUAGAGCACUGUUUCGGCUAGGGGGUCAUCCCGACUUACCAACCCGAUGCAAACUACGAAUACCGAAGAAUGUUAUCACGGGAGACACACGGCGGGUGCUAACGUCCGUCGUGAAGAGGGAAACAACCCAGACCGCCAGCUAAGGUCCCAAAGUCAUGGUUAAGUGGGAAACGAUGUGGGAAGGCACAGACAGCGGGAUGUUGGCUUAGAAGCAGCCAUCAUUUAAAGAAAGCGUAAUAGCUCACUGGUCGAGUCGGCCUGCGCGGAAGAUGUAACGGGGCUAAACCAUGCACCGAAGCUGCGGCAGCGACACUAUGUGUUGUUGGGUAGGGGAGCGUUCUGUAAGCCUGCGAAGGUGUGCUGUGAGGCAUGCUGGAGGUAUCAGAAGUGCGAAUGCUGACAUAAGUAACGAUAAAGCGGGUGAAAAGCCCGCUCGCCGGAAGACCAAGGGUUCCUGUCCAACGUUAAUCGGGGCAGGGUGAGUCGACCCCUAAGGCGAGGCCGAAAGGCGUAGUCGAUGGGAAACAGGUUAAUAUUCCUGUACUUGGUGUUACUGCGAAGGGGGGACGGAGAAGGCUAUGUUAGCCGGGCGACGGUUGUCCCGGUUUAAGCAUGUAGGCUGGUUAUCCAGGCAAAUCCGGAUAAUCAAGGCUGAGGUGUGAUGACGAGGCACUACGGUGCUGAAGUAACAAAUGCCCUGCUUCCGUGAAAGCCUCUAAGCAUCAGGUAACAUCAAAUCGUACCCCAAACCGACACAGGUGGUCAGGUAGAGAAUACCAAGGCGCUUGAGAGAACUCGGGUGAAGGAACUAGGCAAAAUGGUGCCGUAACUUCGGGAGAAGGCACGCUGGUGUGUAGGUGAAGUCCCUGCGGAUGGAGCUGAGACCAGUCGAAGAUACCAGCUGGCUGCAACUGUUUAUUAAAACACAGCACUGUGCAAACACGAAAGUGGACGUAUACGGUGUGACGCCUGCCCGGUGCCGGAAGGUUAAUUGAUGGGGUUAUCCGUAAGGAGAAGCUCUUGAUCGAAGCCCCGGUAAACGGCGGCCGUAACUAUAACGGUCCUAAGGUAGCGAAAUUCCUUGUCGGGUAAGUUCCGACCUGCACGAAUGGCGUAAUGAUGGCCAGGCUGUCUCCACCCGAGACUCAGUGAAAUUGAACUCGCUGUGAAGAUGCAGUGUACCCGCGGCAAGACGGAAAGACCCCGUGAACCUUUACUAUAGCUUGACACUGAACAUUGAGCCUUGAUGUGUAGGAUAGGUGGGAGGCUUUGAAGCGUGGACGCCAGUCUGCGUGGAGCCAACCUUGAAAUACCACCCUUUAAUGUUUGAUGUUCUAACGUUGGCCCCUGACCGGGGUUGCGGACAGUGUCUGGUGGGUAGUUUGACUGGGGCGGUCUCCUCCCAAAGCGUAACGGAGGAGCACGAAGGUUAGCUAAUCCUGGUCGGACAUCAGGAGGUUAGUGCAAUGGCAUAAGCUAGCUUGACUGCGAGCGUGACGGCGCGAGCAGGUGCGAAAGCAGGUCAUAGUGAUCCGGUGGUUCUGAAUGGAAGGGCCAUCGCUCAACGGAUAAAAGGUACUCCGGGGAUAACAGGCUGAUACCGCCCAAGAGUUCAUAUCGACGGCGGUGUUUGGCACCUCGAUGUCGGCUCAUCACAUCCCGGGCUGAAGUAGGUCCCAAGGGUAUGGCUGUUCGCCAUUUAAAGUGGUACGCGAGCUGGGUUUAGAACGUCGUGAGACAGUUCGGUCCCUAUCUGCCGUGGGCGCUGGAGAAUUGAGGGGGGCUGCUCCUAGUACGAGAGGACCGGAGUGGACGCAUCACUGGUGUUCGGGUUGUCAUGCCAAUGGCACUGCCCGGUAGCUAAAUGCGGAAGAGAUAAGUGCUGAAAGCAUCUAAGCACGAAACUUGCCCCGAGAUGAGUUCUCCCUGAGACUAUAAGUCUCCUGAAGGAACGUUAAAGACGAUGACGUUGAUAGGCCGGGUGUGUAAGCGCAGCGAUGCGUUGAGCUAACCGGUACUAAUGAACCGUGAGGCUUAACCUUACAACGCCGAAG